rnacentral:lncRNA from 1 species
UCACAUGAGGCCGGUGCCACGUAUCAGAGGUCUACGGUGACUUUGUUUCGUGGUAUGAUUCAUCGUGAAAGCAAAUGCCAUGUUGAUGACAUGAUGGCAAAGUCCCAAGCAGAACAGGGGCAUCCGGUAGACUUGGGGCAAGUUGUUUGACCGGUUGAGAUAACUCAUACUUUUGAGUCUGAAUCAGUGCACUUAUGGAGUGUUGUCCAUCAAGCUACCGAG